rnacentral:rRNA from 1 species
UACGUAGGGGGCGAGCGUUGUCCGGAUUUACUGGGCGUAAAGGGUGAGUAGGCGGUUGUAUAUGUCAGGUGUAAAAGGCUAUGGCUUAACCAUGGUUAGCACUUGAAACUGUACAACUUGAGUGCAGGAGAGGUAAGUGGAAUUCCUAGUGUAGCGGUGAAAUGCGUAGAUAUUAGGAGGAACAUCAGUGGCGAAGGCGACUUACUGGACUGUAACUGACGCUGAGUCACGAAAGCGUGGGUAGCAAACAGGAUUAGAUACCCUGGUAGU